UGACUUGUAACAUUUUCUUUACUGUCAUACUUGGGUUCUUUGUUGUCCCCUCGGUGUAGGGCGACGUUGGAGCGAGCCGGUCCCGAAUGUCCAAUUUUGCAAUAUGACUUGCAACAUUUUGUCAUUUUCUAACCUACCACUGUCAUACUUGCGUCAUUUGUUCACCCCUUGGUGUAGGGCGGCGUUGGAGCGAGCCGGUCCACGAGGAACCACCGGUCGAGGUUGCUCAAGACAUAAUGACGCGAGCAGCGCACAACUCAUUGCAUGUUCUGCCUUUUGCAGACUGGACGCAAAAGGGGGGGGACGCCCGACCCGGCGACCGUAACCAAGAGUAGCUAGACGCUGUGAUCAAAUGGCGACCGGGACGCGACACGAUCCGAUCAGAAGUGGACGGACUGCUGUGGCAUCACUCUGAAGAAUCCUGCAGCCGGCCGGGUUCUGAGGGAGACCCGCUUCCCUGGAGGCGAUGACCUGCGUAGCUUCAAUGCGUGAAAUUGAGUUUUUAUUUAAUUUUUUUAAUUCACACCAGUGGUGUCCAAACGUCUGAGGGCCGCAUACUGAAACAAAUUCCCAAUUGUUUGACACAAAUUCAUUAAACACACGAAUCAAUCAUGACAUUUUGCUCUUAAUAUUUUGUGCUACUGCUACAAAACGGUAUUCAUUUUGAAGGUCAUUCAUGUGGUGUCUUGAUAAACCUGACCUUGACACAGCAAAAAUGAGGAUAAACUACUGUAUGUCUGCGUCUGAGUGAAAUUUUGAACAGAUGAUUUGACUUUUAAAAAGCAUAUCUUAAUAUUUGAUGAUGCCGUUGAUCAGUCGUAUUUUGGCGCUCACCUAGUGGCCCGUGUCCAAUGGGCUUUUGUGGCAAAUAGCCCCUAGGCUGCCGUUUGGACACCAAUGGUGACGUGUGUGUAGGGCUGCACGUGUAUUGGAAAACUGCCAUAUGGUGGUAUGUUAUUGACAUGCACUUUAAGAAAGAAAAUUUGUUUUUUAAUGUGGCCUAAUGAAACGAGCUCUGUUUUCUUGCCUUAGUACUUGUAAUUAUUUUAGAAGAUGACAAGUCAUUGACGCAAGUUAAUGUUAACAUCUAACUGAUCUCCUUCAGAUCAAAUAGUUCAUUUCCAUCCCAAGUUUUGGCAUGACUUUGCUCAAUGCAAUGGUCUGGCCCAAUACUGCCAUAUCACUCAUUUUCCAAUAUGUUGUGCAGCCUUGAUUGAGGGCAAACGCGCAGCGACGGCAAGCGACCGUGCAAGCGAGACUUUUGUGCUUGUGUCUUGCAAGGUGGAAGCGAAGCUGCACAAAACGAAGAGCAGGCAGACGGAGGCCAUGAGCCCCGGGAUUGGCGAGCGGGGCGAGCGCAAAGGAAGAAAUCACCCCAAGAAAAGCAGUCGCCAUGUGAUGAAGAGGAAGGAGCCUGAUGCAUGACUGGCCAGAGGGCUCGCUCACGUGGCGUCGGAGGGACGGGAGCAGUUCCUCAAAUGAAGAUGAGUACCAUCUGCCGGUCACUGAGUACGUCGACAGAAGUGAACCGCAUGCCGUCUUUUUGCAGUUGUGCGAGGCAGAGGAAGA